rnacentral:rRNA from 1 species
GGAGCUUGCUCCUGGAUUCAGCGGCGGACGGGUGAGUAAUGCCUAGGAAUCUGCCUGGUAGUGGGGGACAACGUUUCGAAAGGAACGCUAAUACCGCAUACGUCCUACGGGAGAAAGCAGGGGACCUUCGGGCCUUGCGCUAUCAGAUGAGCCUAGGUCGGAUUAGCUAGUUGGUGAGGUAAUGGCUCACCAAGGCGACGAUCCGUAACUGGUCUGAGAGGAUGAUCAGUCACACUGGAACUGAGACACGGUCCAGACUCCUACGGGAGGCAGCAGUGGGGAAUAUUGGACAAUGGGCGAAAGCCUGAUCCAGCCAUGCCGCGUGUGUGAAGAAGGUCUUCGGAUUGUAAAGCACUUUAAGUUGGGAGGAAGGGCAGUAAAUUAAUACUUUGCUGUUUUGACGUUACCGACAGAAUAAGCACCGGCUAACUCUGUGCCAGCAGCCGCGGUAAUACAGAGGGUGCAAGCGUUAAUCGGAAUUACUGGGCGUAAAGCGCGCGUAGGUGGUUCGUUAAGUUGGAUGUGAAAUCCCCGGGCUCAACCUGGGAACUGCAUUCAAAAACUGUCGAGCUAGAGUAUGGUAGAGGGUGGUGGAAUUUCCUGUGUAGCGGUGAAAUGCGUAGAUAUAGGAAGGAAACACCAGUGGCGAAGGCGACCACCUGGACUGAUACCUGACACUGAGGUGCAAAAGCGUGG